CUGAAUGGCCUCUAGGCCUUCAACCUUGCAAACCUGUGGAAGCAAGACGUGCUUCGUCGCUUCGGCGCCGCUUUUAUGCCUUAAUCAGUCUAUGUGUCUGAAUCAAAUACAAGAAAUA
rnacentral:misc_RNA from 1 species